GAUAAGAUAAGAAAUUUUCUUUUUCAGCAUAAAUCAAACGUCUCUCAGCUAAAGCACUAGCUAGGGACUUCGUCCAAUCAAUGAAAAAUGAGCCUUUAAUGAGAUCUUAGCAUAUUAAUAGUCACAAUCACCUUAAGCACCUUUGAUCUCAUUACAUUUGAGAAUGAAUUUAAAAACUAGCAAAGCAAACACAUCCUAGAAUUGGUCCGAAAAUACCCAUCCAGUUCAUUCUAGCAAGUCUCCAUGUAGCAUUAGUAUUCAUGAAUACCACUUGUUGAAAAUGCCAACUAGGCAUGGGAAGACGAUAUGGAUGAUCACCACCUUAUACUCAAUUCCUCUUGAGAAGCACAUUCAGGCAUCACUUCAAUCAUCCAUGAUUACUCUAUGUGAUCCUGGUGUUCUUUUUCACAAGCUGUUACUCAACAACGUUUCCAAAUAAUGUAGGUAAGAUUUUCAAGAUGAUUCAACACGUACACAACAUAUUAAUUAAAUGGAUUCCUAUCCAAUAUAUAUAAUAAUGUUUUCCAAACAAUAAAUCUUAGUCGUCUUUGAAGGGCCCUUAAGUUGGCAAUACUCUACUCUCUAUCAUAAGCCAAAUUAAAUUUGAAUAAUUGUCUUCCGUAAAGGAUCCUUUUCCAAGCACAGAUAGGACACAUUACUCCCCAAAUCCUAAUUCAUUUAGAAAGGCAUAAGGAUAAAAUAUAGGAUAUUCACUAACUUUUAUUAGCCAACAGCAGUCUCGUUAAAGACAUGGAGAGCCAAAGCAUAGCAGUUUCCAAAGUACUAUACAUGCACACAAAACUACGCCAAUGAAUUUUGUUAAUUGAAAUUGAAAAGAACCCCAUAAAAUUAGGGUAUUGUAAAUGCAUGAAUGAAGAUGGCUAAUGUUGUGAGCAUUAACAUUUUGAGAAUUGAAAACAACUCAGAGUGUAAGUGGGGAUAACUUUUGGUCCCCUCCUUAAUAUUAACAUACUUGGUUGCGGCCUCCUACACACAACAACUUUUCCUUUUCACCUCUACCGAUCGAAUCUUCCACUCUCUCUUAGAGGGACCGAAAAACGUAGCAUUUAUACUUUUCAACAUCCCCAAAAGAACCUCCAAAAAUUUGUCCCACUGAGGAGCUAGUGAUCAAUGCCAAAGAUUUAAUUCUGCUUCUCUAAAAUUAUAUUGUUCUACUACAAAAAUUACAGCAACCUAAAUUUAAAUGAUAUAGUCCAAUCAUCAAAUAUUCAAAUUUGUUAAAUAUCACUAUAAAAAAAAAUUGUAUAUCUCUCCACCCAUAAAUUCUCCAUAAAAUGUCCAAAAAAAGUGUCCCAAAAUCAACUCUUAACCAACAACACCUCGUUGGAAUGUCGACACAAACGACCAUUGCCGAUGUAGAUAAUGUGCGUCGGUUUAGACGAGCAAGCCUGAUGUCUUAAUUCAAAACAUCAUACUUGAACCGUCCUUUUUGUUUUUUCUUUUUUAAUUUAUCAUCCAUGUUUCUCCGACGACGCAUAGGGAAGAAUUGUCGAGAAAACCUAAACCCUCAAUUUUAUUGUUAACCUUUCCGCGACGUCAAGGACAAAAACGUCGGGGAAUAGUUAAAUAAUUAUUUUACUAAUUAAUUUUUUCCAACGGCAUUAGUGAAAUGUCGACCUUGGUUUGGACAAAGGCCGACGUAUCACUUACAACGUUGGGAAAAGUUCGAUUGGCCGAUGACAUUUCUACACCUUAUUUGUUUCGUAUUCACAGAACACACAGAUGAUGAGAAACAAAAGAGAGAAUAGGCCGAGCUAAUUAUGGAAAAAAGGUAGUGUCUAAAUCUCAUUUUCUUAAAAAAAAAUCUUCAACACACCUCACAUCGUAAUAUUUGUUUUGCUUCUACAUUUUUCCAAUUGUAUAACUUUCUCAACUUUUUUCUUAUGUUGUGAAGUUGUUAAAGUUAGAGAAUCAUAUUAGAAGCUUGAAUCCCUCAACAAUGUUUGAACAUCACUAACCUCAACUCAAAGGAAACAAAAAGUCAAAAAUCACUGAUAGCAUUAUAUAUAUAUAUAUACAAUUUAUCAUCUUAAUGUUACACCCAUAGCAUUAUAGAAGAUAGAGUCUAUUGUGAUAACCUAGGAUAUGAGUCUAUCAUUGAUAGACUACUAUCAGUAAUGGACUAGGAUGCAAAUCUAUCAUUGAUAUACUACUAGAUAGACUAAUAUCACUGAUGGACUAGCAUAAGAGUAUCAUUGAUGGACUAAUAUCACUGAUGGACUAGCAUAAGAGUAUCAUUGAUGGACUAAUAUCACUGAUGGACUAGCAUAAGAGUAUCAUUGAUGGACUAAUAUCACUGAUGGACUAGCAUAAGAGUAUCAUUGAUGGACUAAUAUCACUGACGGACUAGGAUAAGAGUCCAUCAUGGACUACUAUCACUGAUGGACUAGAAUACGAGUCUAUCAUUGAUGGACUACUAUUAGUGAUGGACUAGGAUACGAGUCUAUCAUUGAUAGACUACUAUCAGUGAGACUAAAAUAUUAGUGAUGCACUAGGAUACAAGUCCAUCAAUGAUAGACUAACGUCACUAUGCUCAUAUUAACUAAUUCAACUAAUAGUCUAUCCGUGAUAACUUGUAUUCACGAAUAUUUUUAGAGAAAAAAAUGAAUUUAUUUUAACCUAAAAAUGUAGAAGUGAGAAAAAUUCUUAAUAUGCUCAAUUUCUACGAAUCCUCAAACUGAUGAAGUCCAAUGUAAGUGAAAUUAAACACAUUUUUUAAUAUAAAAAUACUAGUAAAAUCAAUUGAAUUUAGCAAAAUCACCCUAGAGUGAUGAAAUUAAAUCAAAUUGUAAAAAUUAGAUGAAGUAAAAUUUUACGGAAGAAUCACAUAUAAAAACAAUAUCAAACUGAGAUUGAAAAAAAUCGCCGAGUGAAGAAAUGAUCUUAAAGUAGAAGAAAAUCACAGAGAAGAUGGAGAAGAAACGAUGGAGAAUGGAAAAAAAGACGUGAAUAUAGAGAAUGAAGAAAACAAAAGUGAAAAUGGAAAGUGGAUAAUAGGGAGAAGGAGAGAAAAUUGUGGAGAUUUCUUUUAAAACAAGGACAAUUUUGAAAUAUUUUUAAAAAGAAUACAAAAUUUGUUAUAUUUGCAAAUUAUUCAAGCAAUUGUUAUAUACUUAAUAUUUUAUGCCAAAAAAGUUAUGUAUUAUAAAAUUUCUAUGAUAAAAAAGGAAAGAAAAUUAGGAUAAAUAUGUCCAUGGGCCAAACCCGAGUAAUUAUAACAAAAUGUAUUAAUAGAGUUCUAAGAUUGAGACUCCCUCUACAAAGACUCAAACCUUGUUUCAAAUUGUGAGACUCCCUUUUACUUGAAUUCUAUAUUUCCUUUCAGAAAUAAAAUUCUGUGUGUCCAUGAGGAUCUCUAAUAAGAUGAAUCAAGAAACACAAAGCUGUAAGAAAUACGAGGGAAGAAGUGCAGCGCUCUCACAAUCGUCAAUUAAAUGUGACUAAAACACAAAUAUAGAGAAUCUCACUAUUGCUUCUUCUACUUCAAUGAAACAACCAACUCAGCCCAACCACUAAAUAUCCUCUAAAUAUGUAAUGAAGAAAGUGAAGAAGUUUGCAACCCUACUUUCUAAAAUGCUCUCUCUCAAAUCAAAACAAAAUAGACAAAAACACUACAAAAACGAAAUUCCUAAUAAGAAAAAUAUCUUGCAGAGUCUACCUCCCCUAAAACUAAAAACAUUUUAUCACCUUAGACAUUACGUGAUCACCUUAAACAGAUAUUAUCGAUUUCAGAAAACCUAAAAAAAAUAAGUCACAUAAUAUCAAUAAUGUGCAUAAAAAAUUGUUUUUUGUAAUAUUUUUCAUAAACUUCUAUCGUCCUCAACUUGUUAUCGAUAUUUUCAUCACAUUGACUUUCUAUCACCAUGUCUCAAUGUUUUCUCAUGAAAAAGAUGAGAUGAAGUUUUAUAAAAAAGAAAAUAAAAUUACGAAGGUUUAUUAUAUAUAUAAAUUGUAUAUAUAUUAGGAACAACUAUGAUGUCAGCUCAAAGGUUAGAGAUCCAACAUAAGCUCAACCUUAAAGGAACGAAACCCCCUAACGUAUCAGGCAAGAAUUGUUGGACUGGUUGACCUCAAUCCAAGAAUGACUCCAACCAAUAUCAACAACUCUCUUCUCCUUCAAACCUUCAAGAACUUAGUUAUGUCGAUGAGAUCUCACAAAUGUUAGAUAACAUUCAUAAGCUUAGGUUAUUUUACUCCAUUUAAUUUCUUCAUGAUUGGUGAAUGUCUAUUUAAGAAAUUGGUCAAGCAAAUGGUUUCAAAUGAGAAAAAUAAUGCAAUUAAAACAUUACAAAUCAGUCACUGAUCUAAGACUGAUCUGUUGAUCAUUUUAUACUUUCUUUAGAUAAAAUGUGCAACCAAAAUGAUGAUGUCUUCGUUUAUUAAAUAAAGUUAAAAAUUAUUACAAAGACAGAAACAAUAAAUUUACUUUUACUUCCUAUAAAAAGUAAUAGAUUUGAAUCCUCUCUUCCUUCCUACACUUGGACACAAUCUCCCAAGUAGAAAAGUCCUAUGGUCACUACAUUAUAAAUUGCACAAAUUAUUUAUUUGACUAUUAGGUAACAAUGACACAUUUCCAUCAAUUAACGAUAGCCACAUAUACUAAUCUAAGACUUUACAAAUUAUGACCAUUAGGUGGAAGAACAGACUUCACAACUUAAAGAUAACAUGGGUCUAAUGUCCUUACCAGUUCUAUACUUUCACGAAAUAUUCCUUGUAAUUAAACAAGAAAACUCAGCACUGACAAACAAACGUUGAAAAAGGACUAUCAUUGAGAUUGUUGGGUGAAGAUAUAUACAAUAAGAAUAAGAAUAAGAAUAAAAAUAAAAAAACAAAACUUCCAAAACUUCCAAAACUUUCAAAACUCACCUGUGUGUCCGCAGGAAAUUGCAGUAUCUGCUAAGUAUAAGCUCUCUCUGGUUACUUAAAAAUGGAAGGAAAGCCCCAAAAACUGAUCCAAAUCCCCAGAGUAAAACUGGGUAGCCAAGGAUUAGAGGUAUGCUUGAUCACUUC
rnacentral:lncRNA from 1 species